rnacentral:rRNA from 1 species
CAGUCGAACGAGAAAGCUUCCUUCGGGAGGUUAGUAAAGUGGCGGACGGGUGAGUAACACGUGGGUAAUCUGCCCUUGAGUGGGGAAUAACUUCGGGAAACUGAAGAUAAUACCGCAUACGACCCUUCGGGGUGAAAGCUUUAUGCGCUCAAGGAUGAGCCCGCGGUCGAUUAGCUUGUUGGUGGGGUAAUGGCUCACCAAGGCAACGAUCGAUAUCCGGCCUGAGAGGGCACACGGACACACUGGCACUGAGACACGGGCCAGACUCCUACGGGAGGCAGCAGUGGGGAAUCUUGGACAAUGGGGGAAACCCUGAUCCAGCGAUGCCGCGUGACCGAUGAAGGCCCUCGGGUCGUAAAGGUCUUUCGAUGGGGACUAUAAUGAAGGUACCCAUAAAAGCAGGAGCGGCUAACUAUGUGCCAGCAGCCGCGGUAAUACAUAGGCUCCAAGCGUUGUUCGGAAUUACUGGGCGUAAAGCGAGUGUAGGCGGCCUGUCAAGUCGAUUGUGAAAUCUCCCGGCUCAACUGGGAGGGUGCGGUCGAAACUGGCAGGCUAGAGUUCGGGAGAGGAGAGUGGAAUUCCUGGUGUAGCGGUGAAAUGCGUAGAUAUCAGGAGGAACA